rfam:Sorghum bicolor cultivar BTx623 chromosome 10, whole genome shotgun sequence.
UCGUAACACGAACCGGUGUUAAAGGGUCCUGCCCAACGGCUAGUGCUGUCGGGGCAGGGACCCUUUAACACCGGUUCGUGUUACCAA